UACAGAGGUCUCAAGCGUUGUUCGGAUUCAUUGGGCGUAAAGGGUGCGUAGGUGGCGCGCUAAGUCAGGUGUGAAAUUUCGGAGCUUAACUCCGAAACUGCAUUUGAUACUGGCGUGCUUGAGGACUGGAGAGGAGACUGGAAUUCCGUGGGUGAUAGCAGUGAAAUGCGUAGAGAUCGUGAGGAAGACCAGUCGGCGAAGGGCGGGUCUCUGGACAGUUCCUGACACU
rnacentral:rRNA from 1 species